rnacentral:tRNA from 1 species
GAGUGUAUAGCUCAGUGGCAGAGCACAUGGGUAGCAUUCAUGAGGUCCUGGGUUCAAUCCCCAGUACCUCCA